UAGAAGGUAGUGUAGUGGAAGCACAAAGAGUUUUGAUGUCUUUAGCAUAGGUUCAAGUCCUUUCUUUCUAA
rnacentral:tRNA from 1 species